UACGUAGGUGACCAGCGUUGUCCGGAUUUACUGGGCGUAAAGAGCGCGCAGGCGGUCGUUCAAGUCGAGUGUGAAAGCCCCCGGCUCAACUGGGGAGGGUCAUUCGAUACUGAUCGACUGGAAGGCAGGAGAGGGAAGCGGAAUUCCCGGUGUAGCGGUGAAAUGCGCAGAUAUCGGGAGGAACACCUAUGGCGAAGGCAGCUCGCUGGGACGUUACUGACGCUGAGACGCGAAAGCGUGGGGAGCAAACAGG
rnacentral:rRNA from 1 species